rnacentral:rRNA from 1 species
AUGGUGACCUUCGCGGCGCGCCGGAGCGAGCCCGAGCUGGUGCGCCCGGCGCGGCCGACGCCGGCCGAAACCAAGGCCCUCUCCGACCUCGACGACCAGUGGUCGCUGCGGUUCUACGAGUCCAUCGUCGGCUUCUUCCGCGGCCCGCCGGGAGAGAGCACCACGCCGGGCAAAGUGGCCAAGGGCAUCAAGGCGGCCGUGGCGGGGGCUCUCGUGUACUACUACCCCAUGGCCGGACGCCUGAGGAAGCUCCCCGACGGCAACAAGUUGGUGGUGGACUGCACGGGGGAAGGGGUGAUGUUCGUGGAGGCCACAGCGGACAUGCGGCUGGAGGACCUCGGGCAGCCGCUGGUGCCGCCGUACCCGUGUGUCGAGGAGUUCUUGGGCGACGCCGGCAACACGAGAGAUGUCAUUGGCAAGCCUCUGCUCUUCCUGCAGGUGACACAACUCAAAUGUGGAGGAUUUGUCAUUGGGCUUCACAUGUGUCAUUGCAUUGCUGAUGGUUUUGGCACCCUCCAAUUUAUAAAAUCUAUAGCUGAUUUCGCAUGUGGUGAACUUAUCCCAACCACUUUGCCCGUGUGGAAAAGAGAUAUUUUCACAGCACGCAUCCCACCCUCCGUCUCACAUGUCUAUCCGGCUUAUAAACCAUUUCUUCUUGGGUUAGACUGCAGAGGAGAUGAUGUGAUGCUAUCAACUCCACCAGAAACUAUGGAAAUGCAAUAUGUAUUCUUUGGACCAAAAGAGAUAGAUAUUUUAAGAAGCCAUAUUUCAGGACAUCUCUCCAAAUCUACAACAACAUUCGAACUGAUUACUGCCGUCAUGUGGCGAUGCCGCACAUUGGCAUUAGGUUACGAAUCUAAUCAGAGAGUACGUGUCAUGUUUGCUUUAAAUGCACGUGGUAGAAGCAUUAAUGGGGAAAGCGUUGCCGUCCCACAUGGUUACUAUGGAAAUGCACAUUUCUCUCCCGUGGUUGAGGUCACAGUUGAUGAGUUGUCUACAAAGCCGUUGGCUCAUAUACUUGAGCUAAUGCGUAAAGUCAAGAUGGACACCACGAAGGGUUGUGUGAAGUCAAUGGUGGAUUUGAUGGCAUUAUGGAGAGAGUGGUCACCAUUCUGCAUGGACAGAACAUACGAGGUUGGUGAUACAAAGUGGGUUGGAGGCAAUACCCUACAAUUUGGGAAAGCUGAACUGGUUGCUGCUGGUACGCCACAUGCAGGGGAUUUCACUUCAAAGUUGAUAAGCUAUCAUACAAAGUGCAAGAAUCAAGACGGUGAAGACUCAAUAGUGGUAUCAAUCUUAUUGCCAAAAUUGGCAAUGGAGAAGUUCACAAAGGAGAUGGCAAUUUGGUUGAAGAAAUAA